rnacentral:rRNA from 1 species
GACGAACGCUGGCGGCGUGCUUAACACAUGCAAGUCGAGCGGUAAGGCCCUUUCGGGGGUACACGAGCGGCGAACGGGUGAGUAACACGUGGGUGACCUGCCCUUAGCUCUGGGAUAAGCCUGGGAAACUGGGUCUAAUACCGGAUAUGACUCCAUGACGCAUGUUGUGGGGUGAAAGCCUUGUGCGGCUAGGGAUGGGCCCGCGGCCUAUCAGCUUGUUGGUGGGGUGAUGGCCACCAAGGCGACGACGGGUAGCCAGCCUGAGAGGGCGACCGGCCACACUGGGACUGAGACACGGCCCAGACUCCUACGGGAGGCAGCAGGUGGGGAAUCGUUGCGCAAUGGGCGAAAGCCUGACGCAGCGACGCCGCGUGAGGGAUGACGG